rnacentral:rRNA from 1 species
UAAAAAGCUCGUAGUUGGAUUUCUGGCGGGAGCGAUCGGUCCUUCACUCAGUGUUGGAACCUGAUUGUCUCCUACCAUCCAUGGAGAAAACUUAUCUGGCAUUAAGUUGUCGGGUAGGCAAUCUCCAUCUUUUACUGUGAAAAAAUUAGAGUGUUCAAAGCAGGCUUAUGCCGUUGAAUAUAUUAGCAUGGAAUAAUAAGAUAGGACUAUGGUACUAUUUUGUUGGUUUGUGCACCAUGGUAAUGAUUAAUAGGGACAGUUGGGGGUAUUCGUAUUCCAUUGUCAGAGGUGAAAUUCUUGGAUUUAUGGAAGACGAACUACUGCGAAAGCAUUUACCAAGGAUGUUUUCAUUAAUCAAGAACGAAAGUUAAGGGAUCGAAGAUGAUUAGAUACCCUCGUAGUCUUAACCAUAAACUAUGCCAACUAGGGAUCGGCAGUUGUUCACAUAACACUGUCGGCACCUUAUGAGAAAUCAAAGUCUUUGGGUUCCGGGGGGAGUAUGGUCGCAAGUCUGAAACUUAAA